GACGAACGCUGGCGGCGUGCUUAACACAUGCAAGUCGAACGGAAGGGCCCUGCGCUUGUGGGGUGCUCGAGUGGCGAACGGGUGAGUAACACGUGAGUAACCUGCCCUUGAAUUUGGGAUAACUUCAGGAAACUGGGGCUAAUAUCGGGUAGAAGAUCCUGCUGCACGGGGGGGGUUGGAAAGUUUCGGCGGUUGGGGCUGUAAUCGAGGGUUAUGAGCUGGAUGGUGGGGUAGUGGCUUUCAAAGGCUUUGAAGGGUAGCCCGCCUGGGAGGGUGACCGGGCACCAUGGGACUGAGAUAGGGACCAGACUCGUACGGUAGGCAGUAGGCGGGAACAUGGCACAAUGGGCGGAAGUGUGAUGCAGCAACGCUGCGUGCGGGAUGCCGGGCUUCGGGUUGUAAACCUAUUUGGCAUGUGACGAAGCGUGAGUGACGGUAAUGAGUAAAGAAGCACCGGCUAACUACGUG
rnacentral:rRNA from 1 species